GUCCCUAUCGUCUAGUGGUUAGGACACCAGAUUUUCAUUCUGGGAACCGGCGUUCAAUUCGCCGUAGGGACGCCA
rnacentral:tRNA from 2 species